rnacentral:misc_RNA from 1 species
GAUGAAGAACGUAGUAAAAUGCGAUAAGUAAUGUGAAUUGCAGAAUUCAGUGAAUCAUCGAAUCUUUGAACGCACAUUGCGCCCGCUGGUAUUCCGGCGGGCAUGCCUGUUCGAGCGUCAUUUCAACCCUCAAGCCCCCGGGUUUGGUGUUGGGGAUCGGCUCUGCCCUUCUAGGCGGUGCCGCCCCCGAAAUACAUUGGCGGUCUCGCUGCAGCCUCCAUUGCGUAGUAGCUAACACCUCGCAACUGGAACGCGGCGCGGCCAUGCCGUAAAACCCCAACUUCUGAAUGUUGACCUCGGAUCAGGUAGGAAUACCCGCUGAACUUAAGCAUAUCAAUAAGCGGAGGA